rnacentral:rRNA from 1 species
AUUGAACGCUGGCGGCAUGCUUUACACAUGCAAGUCGAACGGUAACAGGUUAAGCUGACGAGUGGCGAACGGGUGAGUAAUGCAUCGGAACGUGCCCGAUCGUGGGGGAUAACGCAGCGAAAGCUGCGCUAAUACCGCAUACGAUCUGAGGAUGAAAGCGGGGGACCGUAAGGCCUCGCGCGAUCGGAGAGGCCGAUGUAAGAUGAGGUAGUUGGUGGGGUAAAGGCCCACCAAGCCGACGAUCUGUAGCCGGUCGGCGAGGACGACCAGCCACACUGGGACUGAGACACGGCCCAGACUCCUACGGGAGGCAGCAGUGGGGAAUUUUGGACAAUGGGCGAAAGCCUGAUCCAGCAAUGCCGCGUGCAGGAAGAAGGCCUUCGGGUUGUAAACUGCUUUUGUACGGAGCGAAAAGGUCCUUUCUAAUACAAGGGGCUCACGACGGUACCGUAAGAAUAAGCACCGGCUAACUACGUGCCAGCCGCCGCCGUAA